GGAAGUGAAGGUGAUCUGGCUGCAACAUCGGUCACCCCAUCAAUUGCCAGGUUGAUUCAGCUGAUCUGGAUGGCUAGGUGGGUGUUCCCUUCCUGCCUCCCCACUCCAUGUGUGUCCCUCCCAAAGCUGCAUGCUCAGUCAAAGAGGACCGCCAUCCUCGAUACAGGAGGACCAGUUUUCAGUCAAGGGUAUAUGAGUAGCUACGCCCUCCUGCUAGAACCUCCAAACAAGCUCUCAAGAGUGGAAGAGAGGCCGGGCGCGGUGGCUCAAGCCUGUAAUCCCAGCACUUUGGGAGGCCGAGAUGGGCGGAUCACAAG
ensembl:misc_RNA 7SK 7SK RNA